rnacentral:tmRNA from 1 species
GGGGCUGAUUCUGGAUUCGACGGGAUUUGCGAAACCCAAGGUGCAUGCCGAGGGGCGGUUGGCCUCGUAAAAAGCCGCAAAAAAUAGUCGCAAACGACGAAAACUACGCUUUAGCAGCUUAAUAACCUGCUUAGAGCCCUCUCUCCCUAGCCUCCGCUCUUAGGACGGGGAUCAAGAGAGGUCAAACCCAAAAGAGAUCGCGUGGAAGCCCUGCCUGGGGUUGAAGCGUUAAAACUUAAUCAGGCUAGUUUGUUAGUGGCGUGUCCGUCCGCAGCAGGCAAGCGAAUGUAAAGACUGACUAAGCAUGUAGUACCGAGGAUGUAGGAAUUUCGGACGCGGGUUCAACUCCCGCCAGCUCCACCA